CAUCUCAGCGGGCAUUUCUGAGCCAGGGCUGCCUUUCCUGACCCCAUCCCCUCUCUCCUUCCUUUGUCUCUGCUACCCCCAGUGGACUAUGGGAGUCUGGAGGCAGAACCCACAUAUGGCUGGCUCCUGGUGAAUCCUUGGGGUUGGGAAAGCUGCUUGGCACGCAGCGACCACUCAGGAAGGAGGUGGUGUUCAAGCUGGCCCCGUGCUUCCUGCUAGGCCAGGCCAGCCUUAGGGGAAGACAGAAAGCCCCAGAGAAGAGCAGGUGUCCUGACGCCGAGGCGGGGAUGUCCCCAAGCCCUGUAACGUGCACACUGCAACCCAGAGGCCAGCACACGUCUGCCUCUGAGGUCCUGUUCACAUAUCCAGGUGACCUCGAACCCUCCCUCCCCCUUGCUCCACCCUCAGACCUUGAACACACCAGGCACACCCAUCUCUCUCCUGUCCUGGAACACGUGCCAGUGGCACAGGCGAGAACAGUCGUCUGUCGGCCCCUCCUCUCCACUGGGGCAGAGUGGUGGAUGCUCUGACAAGAAGGUUGCCAGAGGUUGUGGGGACAUUCAGGGACCGAGGGCCAUCGGACUCAGGACCGUGGAAUCUGAACUGUCACAGACGAGGUGCCUGGCGGCUUGCAUGGUUCAGUCUGCUUUGCUUUUCUGGUUUCAGUCUCAAACCUGCCUCUUCCAGACAGCCUUCCUUGCUUACUUCCUUGAUCCAUCAUUCUUAAUCCAUCAGAUACGCUUGGUUUGAAGCAUCCCGUUUCUUUGGCGAAUGGGGGUAUUCGGUACUGUAACUGGGGUGAAUGCCCCCUGACAGUAAGGACCCUCUAGUACACUCUAGAGUCUACCUUGCUUGCCCAUGACCACUGAUAAUGAAAAUAAUAAUGAUGCCAUUUUUUAGAUGUCAUUUAAAAAAAACCAUGCCGAGUGCUUUGUAUUCAAUUAUCUCAUGCAAUCCUGGCAAUGCCCAUAGGAAGUGGACACCAUUACAUAUGGGAAACCGAGGCUGAGAGAACAGAACACAGGGAGCUUGCUGGUGGCCACAGAGGGCCAGCUGCGGCUCAGGCGUUUCCUCUCCUGCGCCCCUGAUGCCUCCCCCACCCUGGCCGCUGGCCUCCUCUGCCUUGUUCACUUCCUCAGGACCUUUCCGGUUCAGCCAGCCUCCGACUUGAUUGGCCCAGCAGGCCGGACUGGGGCAGCGGGUGAGGCUGCCAUUCCAUCAAAGAUGCUCUUACCGGAGAACAGAGACAGGAAAUUUCAGUAGCAGAUGCAACAGAGGCCACGCACAGAGACUGCCCAGGCGAAAACUCUUCAUGCACAAACAGAGGAUGUCUUGCCAGGGGCCGUGCCAGCCUCACCCCAGCUCCAAGGAGGGGGAGGGGCAUCUCCAAUAGACUGUUUCGUCUGCGUUUCUGACCCCCAGACCCACAUGUCCAGGGAGCCAGGCCAUUCCUCUUGUGUCCUGCAGACGUGCAGACCCCUGCAGUAGCUGUUAACCAUCGGGGUAGGCUUGCCUGGCGAAAUCCAGGGCGCCGAGUCAAA